CCUACGGGAGGCAGCAGUGAGGAAUAUUGGACAAUGGGCGCAAGCCUGAUCCAGCCAUGCCGCGUGCAGGAAGACGGUCCUAUGGAUUGUAAACUGCUUUUAUACAGGAAGAAACACCUCUACGUGUAGAGACUUGACGGUACUGUAUGAAUAAGCAUCGGCUAACUCCGUGCCAGCAGCCGCGGUAAUACGGAGGAUGCAAGCGUUAUCCGGAAUCAUUGGGUUUAAAGGGUCCGUAGGCGGUUUAAUAAGUCAGUGGUGAAAGCCCAUCGCUCAACGAUGGAACGGCCAUUGAUACUGUUAAACUUGAAUUAUUAGGAAGUAACUAGAAUAUGUAGUGUAGCGGUGAAAUGCUUAGAGAUUACAUGGAAUACCAAUUGCGAAGGCAGGUUACUACUAAUAUAUUGACGCUGAUGGACGAAAGCGUGGGGAGCGAACAGGAUUAGAUACCCUGGUAGUCCACGCCGUAAACGAUGGAUACUAGCUGUUCGGAGCAAUCUGAGUGGCUAAGCGAAAGUGAUAAGUAUCCCACCUGGGGAGUACGUUCGCAAGAAUGAAACUUAAAGGAAUUGACCGGNUGAGAGAGCGAGACGACGACGAGGGAGGAGG
rnacentral:rRNA from 1 species